CCUACGGGUGGCAGCAGUGGGGGAUAUUGCACAAUGGGCGAAACCCUGAUGCAGCGACGCCGCGUGUGGGAAGACGGUCCCCUGCAUUGUAAACCACUGUCGCCAGGGGCGAAGAUCACGGUACCUGGGGUGGCCGCUCCUGCUAACUACGUGCCCGCAGCCGCGGUACUACGUAGGGAGCAAGCGUUGUCCGGAAUUACUGGGUGUAACGGGCGCGUAGGCGGGAUGUCAAGUUGGGGGGUAACUCUACAGGCUCAACUGGGAGGCGCACUCAAAACUGCUAUUCUUGAGAGAAGGAGAGGCAGGCGGAAGUCCGAGUGUAGCGGUGAAAUGCGUAGAUAUUAGGAGGAACACCAGUGGCGAAGGCGGCCUGCUGGGCGUUUACUGACGCUGAGGCUCGAAAGUGUGGGGAUCAAACAGGAUUAGAUACCCCAGUAGUC
rnacentral:rRNA from 1 species